rnacentral:SRP_RNA from 1 species
GCUGGAUGUGGUGGUGCACACCUGUAAUCCCAGCUACUCAGGAGGCUGAGGCAGGAGAAUCGCUUGAACUCGGGAGUUGGAGGUUGCAGUGAGCUGAGAUUGUGCCACUGCACUCCAGCCUGGGUGACAGAACGAGACUCUGUCUCAU